GCAUGACACAGUGUUGUCUGGGUUGAGGAUGCAAAUCCCUACCCUAGGCAACAUCCCAGGAGCUGCAAUGGGCUGUGCAAUGUCUGGUGCCGUGGGGGCAGGUGUGAUGGGGCACUCCCUGGUGGCAGCAGCUGGCCGUCGGUCUGGCCGCAAAACAGGAGCCUGUCCUUCCAGAUUUGGAGGGAGGACAAAUUCGUGCCGUGGGCCUGAUGCUGAAGGAAGGAGCUGCAGUCGUUCCUUCGGUGGUGGAAGCUGGUCAGGUGCCACAGGAAUCGGGUUGGUUGGAGCCAUUCCCUGAGAAAGGAUACUCAUCUCCUGGCUCUUCAGCCGCCGUUGAAACCUGAGAGAAGAUCAUUUGUGUUAGAUAUUUAUUCAUUAGAGGACUAUUCAGUCAAUUUGAGGUAAAUGAUGAGCCUGACCUACCAUUGAAUGAGUGUCCGCUGAUUAAGCUCAAACAGCUGGAUCAUUGUCUCCACCAUAACCCUUGGACUGUUGAGCACUAAGUCCUGGAUGUGGUGGUAGUCGCUGAGAAUUUUAGUCCAUCUGGGGGUGGACAAUGCAGCCUUCUUGGUGGUUUUCUUGUGUAAAGUGCACAGCCUUAUGCACAUGGCCUCAACCAAGCGGCUGGUGUUGGGCCACUGAGCUGGGCCCCCCAGGAUGUCCUAUCAAGCAGCGCUUAACGCUCUCCACACCCGGCGUGACUCCAGACCGCUUGGGAGCCUUAAAACAGCCACUUGUCAGUCGCUGCUGAUGACGAGGCUGGUAGUCGACCAGCUCCUUGUCGCCUUCAGGGAGAGCUGUCCACAGCUGGAUGACCUGGAUCACCUGCAGCUCAGUGAGGUAAGACGCCUCACGGAGACCCACCAGCCUCAGAGGACGUGGACGGCAGAUCAGCAGGUGAUGGAGAGGCCUGAGGUGGAGAGGCCUGAGGACUCGUCAUCAACGGUGAGGGCCUGUUCUCCAGAUGACGGCAGGGGUCAUCCUCCUCGAGCACAGGAACUGUGAUGUCCUCUGUGAUCUCUUCUUCGAAUCCCUCAUCUUGUACGUCCUCAUCACUGACUUCCUCCACCAGCCUGUCCUCCUCCUCUGGGUUCUGGAGCACUGGACUCAGUGUUUUGCCGGUCUGGUUGUACAAGUACUCCAUUCCCAGCAAUUCACCUACAAAAACAAAACAGAAAAAAGAAAUUAUUCUUAAUAUGUUUAAGCAAUAUAGCACUCGUGAUCGUGGGGUUGGCAAUGGAUAAUCCACCGGUGUUGUUCAGGACUGUAAUAUUAGAAAUAUCAGAAACUAGUAACUAGGGCUGGGUAAAAAAAAUUUAAUCAAUAAAGAUUUAAUCGAUUUUGGAUCGAUUUCAUUUAAAUUUUUGCAAUAUGGAUUCAUAGGGCAUGAGAUCGAUUUUUUUUUUCCCUCCAUGAACCCCAGUAGACUCGUGCGUGAUGACGCAGCAGCGCGUUUACGUCCAUAUGUGUACCUCCAAGUGGCAUAUUUUCUCAUAUUUGAGCUACUGUAAAAUAUUAUUACUCAAAUAUGGACUUUUGUUGUUAAAUUUCUCCAAAUUGCUGCAGUAAAAAUGCUUGACAUUAAAUAUACUUGUAGUCUUAGACGUGUAGAAGUCAAAUAUAUCAUCCAUAGCCAGGAAUUAUUGAGCAAUAUGUUUUUACAGAACCUCAAAUAUGGUCAAAUAUGCAAUCUCUGGAGGCAUAAAUACAGGACUUUUAUUUUGACAUUUCUCCACACUGGCGCAGUAAAGAUACUGCCUAACCCCAAAUCAUAUCAAUGAGCUCCUUUUCCUGCACAAGAAUCUCACAAUGAGUGAGAACAAAGUCACAAUAACAGGACUUCAGACAGUUUAAGUUUACUUUUAUUUUCGUUACCAUUAUUAUUAUUGUUGCACUUUAAUAAACAAUGCCUUAAUGCAGUUUGCUAGUUUACUAGUAACCCAUAUGUAUGCAAUACCUGGAAUAAAUCUGUUUAAGUGGAGGUGGAAGGACUCCAGGGAGGUAGAGCCAGGGGCACACCUGUAGCAGCUCCACAUCUCCUUUCUUCAGGGUGCCUGUCUUGAUGUAGAGCAGGAAGUCCUCUGGGUCUUGGAUACAGCCCACGUGUUUCUCCUGCUCCUGCCAUAUCUGCUGGAUGCGUUCGUGGUCCAGCAGAGGAACUCCCAGAGUGUCCUUCCCACUUGCACCGUCAAACAGACCGAUCAGUGACCCAAUCAGCCUGAUGGUCUCCUCCACCCCUCUGGUCUUCCUCCUGCAGUGCAGCGCCAACUCCCUCCGGGUGAUGCGAGUGGUCACCGCCUCCUCUCCGAUGUGGCCAAUCCUCCUUGCUGCCAGCUCACCCUCCUUGGCGCGACGAAGAGCAGCAACAUCUUCCGGAUCCCACUCAAAAAUGCACGUGGACAGGCGGGCCAUGAAAAUGCCGUACAGAGGUUGAGCCUCCGUUGUGACACCUGCAGCAAACCGGUGCAUGAAAUGUCAUAUCGAGGCGCACUUGAAGCCCGUCCCACUCUGCAAACAUGGCCUUCACCCGACAAGGGCUGACUGCAGCAGUCUCUGUCCACGUACAUGAUUCCUGGUGCCGCCUCUCCUGCCUCCCUGUACCGCUUCAUCAGGCCAGCAGCCAUAGCGUCCAGUGUUUGUCCCUCACCGGCUGUCAGCACUGAAAACUGCUCGUUUCCCACAUUAGUGCACCAGGCAGAUGUUCCUUCCUUUCACUGAAGCCUCCAGCAAUACAGGAGACUGAGACUCGUUUUUGGUUGUAAAACUGCACAAACAGAAAUAAAAUACAAACAUUUCUCAUUAAAGAAAUAUUCUGCA